rnacentral:misc_RNA from 1 species
AGCAUUCUAGGCUCAGCCAUGGCGCUGAUCGUCUGGUUAAUUGCUCUGCUGUGUGUUGUGUCGUCUGCUACAUCGUCUUGUGAUACCCCAGUGAUGCUCAGUGAAAAUUCCACAAAAUUCUACGUUAGGACGGAUACACUUAUAUUACAUUGCAACGCUUCUUCUUAUGAUCAAAUAAACUGGUACCACGUACCUCAUGGAACAACGGACCUUAAUCCUUACCAGUUUAGUUGGUGUACACCCAACACAUGCAGGCUACAUGGAAACUCCACGACACUCAUUAUGAGAGAAAUCAGCAUGGAGCUGAAAGACAGCAAAAUCAUCUGUGUAGCAUCAUGCUCUGCGACCGGGAAAAAUGCUACAGCCUAUACCACAGUUUCGGUUAAAAAAUGUGUUCUAAAUAAGCCAAUCUUCAAACCAGUACAAAAUGUUACCACCAGCCUCGGAGAAACAGCAAAUCUCACGUGUAAGGCAGAGAUGGGGGCCUGUUAUAACCUGACUUUUCCAAAUUUUAUAUGGGCGCGAAAUGGAACGAAGAUUGAACUGAACACCACCAACAGAUACUCCACUUAUGUGGAAUUAGAUGUUACCGGUGAACUAGUGACAACGCUAACUAUACGUGACGUCAAAGAAGAAGAUCUGCAAUCAUUUGACUGUACCUUGGUCGAUAACCAUUUUAGGGACGGCCAUGAUCGGAUGACAGUCAUUCUCUCCCUAUCAGAGUCCAGAUGCCAUGUAUUUUAUAACAAUAGCUAUAUUGCUGCUGUUGUCAUAGUUCCUAUCGUUGUAUUUGGUAUCCUCUGCUAUUUCUGUUGCCGCUGGCGCAUUCAAUACUUUUUGAAGAAGAAAAGCCUAAAAGAAAGAGGAGUCAACAAAGAGUGGGACGCCCUACUUUGGCAUGAUAAUGAACACUCCAAAGAUGCCAGUAAUCUGCUAGCGGCACUGGAGGGCAUGCGCUACCGGGUUUGCACUAAGGAAGACAGAACUUGUGGCCCUAAACUAGAUUGUUUGGAGGCACAGAUCGAUUCAAGCGCAUGCGUAAUUAUUCUUAGAAAGGAUGACGGAAAGAUGAUGACGAUUCUGGAUAAAGCUCAAGAAAAUCAGUCAGUUAUCCUAAUUCAGACCAAGUCACAGAGUUUUAAGGAAAAGGUAAACCAUUUAAAGUGUAAGUUUCUGUGUCAUACAAGAAGAAACAACCUUUCACAGAGUAAAGGGGAGCUGAAUAAAUCCAUGGCCGGCUUCCUGAAACUCUACUGGCCGUCACACGACGCAAAUGUUAAUUGCUGUGCAACACUCCGCCGAGCCGAGUUUUAUUACAGGUUAAGAUUGAAACUGCCGAAAUCAGGCGCUAACGUCGAGUUGGGAAACAUACAAAUGCAGUGAUAAAAUGCAUUCCAGUAUAGUUUAGGUGAUCAUUAUUUCCAAGGGUGAGUGUAACUUGGAAGAUGCACUGUGCAUGUAAUAACCUUUAAGUUUGCAUUUUACACCUGGGAUUUGAUUAUUUUUAUCCUUAAAUUGCUCCGAUCGGCGUAUCAGUUUUGUGCAAUUGUCCAUUAAGAAGUAGGACUGAGAUAUAAAGUUUCUCGGAUUUAUCUUCCCUCCAAUAUUUUUCCGGUGCUUGUGUGUUGCCAAUUAUAUACUAAUAUAGUGCCUAUACCACUGCAUAUUACAAUACAGAUGGACGGAGAAUCAGUGUGCCUUGAACAUGUGUAUGGAUCUGGUUUACGAAUGGAUUGAUGUCUGUAGAAUGCAUAUGAUCAUUUCUACAAGAUUCUUUGAUAUAGUGAAAAUAGUUAAAACUGAGAAUGGAAGGUCAUGCUUGACAAUGCCUUGGGUUCUUGGAAGGACGUUUGUUAAUCAUACAUGCAUGAAAAGGCAUGACGAUAUAAAUAUUCUGAGACUAUAAAAUACAAAUUUGUUAGCAUAAUUUGAAAAAUAAACCAACACCUUUUUCAUUUUAUUGUAUCUCAUUUAGUCAUAAUAAUGCAUUCCUAAUUACAUGUUUAUAUGUAUAAAAUAUUAUAUAUGUUA